ensembl:lncRNA
AUGACAUUCUAUCCCUGGUUCCAGUUGUUAUUCAGUUAUGGAAACAGGAGAAAUCAUUUUAGAAAGGAAGCCAGCUGGUUCAUUAGUCUGAUUAAACUCAAGCAAUGGAAUCUGAGCACAGUUCACAUGAUGAAUGGUUUGCUUUCUCCUUGGCCACGCUGCUCUUGGGUUGGUUCCCCCUGCCUCACAACUACAGGAAUGAUCUUACAUCCCUUGGGGGCACUCUGGCCAAAUGCCCACAGCUCUACGGGGACACUGAUCACAGGACAUCCCCUGGACAUAUCUCCCUGCUCAAGGAGCUCUGGGGCCCUGCUUGGUUCGUGAAAAAAUGAGUUUGGCAUCAGCUUCUCUGGAUUUUGAAAACAUCUGGUGAUUAUGAGGAGAAGCAACAACGUAGAAGGAGCCUGGGUCCUGAGGCCCAACAGGACUGAGUCUGCUUCCUGCUACCGUCACCCCAGGGGUGUGACCUUGGACAGCUCAUCUCACUUCCCAGGUGUUAGGGUCUUCUCUCCCUUAAAGGAUGAUUGUGAGACUGAAAUGGCAUAAGAGAGAGUAACUGGCACACAGUAGGCACAUGAUGAGCAUUUUCAUUCUUUCCCUUCCUUUCUUCUCUGUAUCUUUGAGGUUCCAGAGAAGAUUAGAAAUUAAUUAUAAAACUGCAUAGGACUAAAUGGCAUCAAUCAAUUUCGUAAAUUACCAUUAAAUAUAAUUGUCAGCAGAAGAGAGCCGAAAAACAUGCAUCCAGAAUCCAGCAAAAGGAGCUGAUUCUUACUUUGUGGAUUGAUGGCAAAUUGGCUGAGUUCCUAUUCCCCACCCCACCCCCUUUUCUUAAUGCUACACAGAUGAGGUAACAUCAACACCCAGGCCACGAAAGCAAAUGUCUCAGUGUAUUUCUUUUUCUAGUUUAAUUCGUCUCAAAUAUGAAAAGCAGGCAGUCAUCUAUAACAAACUAGCUCAAUGAUCAUUUGUGCUUAUCCACAACUCAGCCUUGGGAGUUCAAUCUGGGACUCUUCCCCACCCAAACACAAGAGGAUAAACAACACAUUUCUACUGUUUAUUCCUUUAUUGUUUUUUCUUUUUCUUUUGUCUAUUCUUUAUUUCUAUAUUAAGCAACCAUGAAAAGAUCAUGGAGUCGCAGCCCACAUUUCUAUAAAUUGUAAUGAACAAACAUGGCACAAGUAAAAAGAAAAGCUAAAGCAUGCAGCGAUUACUUCAAGUUUUCAAGUUUUGCCUCAAUUCCUGAGGAGGAAGACACAAGUUAUUUUUCUCCGCUGACAGUGAUAUUUCUGGGAGAAACAUGAAAAUAGCCACGUGCCAGAGUCUCUACCUUUCGUACCUGCAUGAGCCAUGCGAGAACCCACCAUCUGAAACAAGCUUACUGUGAUUCUUAACAUGGUGCCACAAACCAUCACUCCCAGCAACUCAUUACGGCUUCUAUUGAGGUAUGCAGUGAAGGACAGGAGUCACUCUGAGAGUCCCCAGGGAAUGUUCAACCAUGACCUUGGUGGAAGCAGGAGAAGGAAAAGCAGGCAGACCACUCACGUUAGAACCGGAAGCUAGGUUGCAUCUCUUGCUCGUCCCUAUGUUAGUUUCUACAGGGCAUUAGGGGUGGAAUGGCAUGGUAGGACCACUGUUGUUCUAGCAAAUAUUUGGCAUCAGCUCUCAUGGGCAGGGGAGAGUCCUGAUUUAUAGCAUUUGCAGAUUUCUGUGCCGUAAAUACUCCCACCAUGGCUGGCUUGAAACUAGCACCAGAUGUCACUGGAUGCAGAAAUUGGGCCCACCCUGCCUCCAGCCCACCACUUGGUAGGACCCUGGGACCGCCACUGCCUGCAGUUGUCAGUGGGCAGUACCAUGUCUCAGAGGGCUGACGGAAGGCCUGGACUAGACUUCAGGACACAGAUGGGACGCCACCAUCUGUCCCUGAGAAGUCCUGCCAGCCACCUUGUUGGCCUCCCUGUGCUCCUCUCUCGUGGAUUGCUUGUGAGGCCAUAGUGUCACCAUAUGUCCACAUGCCAGUCCUCCCAUGUAAAUGCAGGGCUCCAUUCUCCCACACCUGACACAGUUCCUGGAAAAGUAGGCAUGUAACGAAUGUUUUCUAAAUAAAUGUUUAUUGACUGGGUGUUGGAAUGAAUGAGUGAAUGCUCUGAGGGAGAGGAGGGGGAAAACAAGGAAGCUGCCAUCACUCAUCUGCAAAGACGCCUUGCAAAAAAAGAGUUGACACUGGAGGCCAGGAGUUUGGGACCGGCCUGGGCAUCAUAAUGAGACUCCGUCUCUACCAAAAUAAAAUUGUUUGUUUAUUUGUUUUAAUUAGCCAGGCAUGGUGUCACAUGUCUCUAGUCUCAGCUACUCAGGAGGCUGAGGUGGGAGGAUUGCUAGAGCCCAGGAGUUGAGGCUGCAGUGAACUAUGAUCACACCAUUGCACUCCAGCCUGAGUGACAGAGCGAGACCUCAUCUCUAAAAAAAAUUUUUAAGGAUGGGAUUUAUUAUUUUUUUAAUAUCAGUGGACACAACCAGGACCAAAAAGAGGAAGUGGUAGGGGAGUAGGUUUAGAUUCUCUCUGAAGAAAUUGAGCUUGUAGUUCCUACAGACUAUAGAAUGUGGGGUCCUCCCUGUCUUCCACCUUUCAGUUAGCAUCCUCUGCCCUCACCCACUUGAAAAAUUGCCCUAGUCCAUUUCCCUUGCCUCUACACCCUAACACAGGGAUUUUUUCUAUUGCUACAAAUACCGAGGGAGCUC